CCUACGAGUGGCAGCAGUGGGGAAUAUUGCGCAAUGGGCGAAAGCCUGACGCAGCGACGCCGCGUGAGGGAUGAAGGUCUUCGGAUCGUAAACCUAUGUCAGCAGGGAAGAACGGUCACUGUGCUAAUCAACCGUGAAUUGACGGUACCUGCAAAGGAAGCACCGGCUAACUCCGUUCCAGCAGCCGCGGGAAUACGGAGGGUGCGAGCGUUACUCGGAAUUACUGGGGGUCAAGCGCUCGUAGGCGGUAUGUCAAGUCAAGGGUGAAAUCCCCGCGCUCAAGGUGGGAACUGCCUUUGAAACUGGCAAACUGGAGUGUGUGAGAGGAUAGUGGAAUUGCAGGUGUAGGAGUGAAAUCCGUAGAUAUCUGGAGGAACAGCAGUGGCGAAGGCGACUAUCUGGCACAUAACUGACGCUGAGGAGCGAAAGCGUGGGUAGCAAACAGGAGUAGAUACCCUUGUAGGC
rnacentral:rRNA from 1 species